AGGCGAACUGAAACAUCUAAGUACCCCGAGGAGAAGAAAUCAACCGAGAUUCCGGUAGUAGCGGCGAGCGAACCUGGAUUAGCCCUUAAGCACUCGGUGAAGUAGGUGAACAAGCUGGAAAGCUUGGCGAUACAGGGUGAUAGCCCCGUAACCGACGCUUCAUCGAGCGUGAAAUCGAGUAGGGCGGGACACGUGAUAUCCUGUCUGAAUAUGGGGGGACCAUCCUCCAAGGCUAAAUACUCCUGACUGACCGAUAGUGAACCAGUACCGUGAGGGAAAGGCGAAAAGAACCCCUGUGAGGGGAGUGAAAUAGAACCUGAAACCGUGUACGUACAAGCAGUAGGAGCACCUUCGUGGUGUGACUGCGUACCUUUUGUAUAAUGGGUCAGCGACUUAUAUUCAGUGGCAAGGUUAACCGUAUAGGGGAGCCGUAGCGAAAGCGAGUCUUAACUGGGCGCUCAGUCUCUGGAUAUAGACCCGAAACCGGGUGAUCUAGCCAUGGGCAGGUUGAAGGUUGAGUAACAUCAACUGGAGGACCGAACCGACUAAUGUUGAAAAAUUAGCGGAUGACUUGUGGCUAGGGGUGAAAGGCCAAUCAAACUCGGAGAUAGCUGGUUCUCCCCGAAAGCUAUUUAGGUAGCGCCUCGGACGAAUACUACUGGGGGUAGAGCACUGUUAAGGCUAGGGGGUCAUCCCGACUUACCAACCCUUUGCAAACUCCGAAUACCAGUAAGUACUAUCCGGGAGACACACGGCGGGUGCUAACGUCCGUCGUGGAGAGGGAAACAACCCAGACCGCCAGCUAAGGUCCCAAAGUAUUGCUAAGUGGGAAACGAUGUGGGAAGGCUCAGACAGCUAGGAUGUUGGCUUAGAAGCAGCCAUCAUUUAAAGAAAGCGUAAUAGCUCACUAGUCGAGUCGGCCUGCGCGGAAGAUGUAACGGGGCUAAGCAAUACACCGAAGCUGCGGCAAUAUCUUUUAGAUAUUGGGUAGGGGAGCGUUCUGUAAGCCGUUGAAGAUGAAUCGUAAGGUUUGCUGGAGGUAUCAGAAGUGCGAAUGCUGACAUGAGUAACGACAAAGGGGGUGAAAAACCUCCUCGCCGGAAGACCAAGGGUUCCUGUCCAACGUUAAUCGGGGCAGGGUGAGUCGACCCCUAAGGUGAGGCCGAAAGGCGUAAUCGAUGGGAAACGGGUUAAUAUUCCCGUACUUCUGACUAUUGCGAUGGGGGGACGGAGAAGGCUAGGUGGGCCAGGCGACGGUUGUCCUGGUUCAAGUGCGUAGGCUUGAGAGUUAGGUAAAUCCGGCUCUCUCUAAGGCUGAGACACGACGUCGAGCUGCUACGGCAGUGAAGUCAUUGAUGCCAUGCUUCCAGGAAAAGCCUCUAAGCUUCAGAUAGUCAGGAAUCGUACCCCAAACCGACACAGGUGGUCGGGUAGAGAAUACCAAGGCGCUUGAGAGAACUCGGGUGAAGGAACUAGGCAAAAUGGUACCGUAACUUCGGGAGAAGGUACGCUCUUGAUGGUGAAGUCCCUCGCGGAUGGAGCUGACGAGAGUCGCAGAUACCAGGUGGCUGCAACUGUUUAUUAAAAACACAGCACUGUGCAAAAUCGCAAGAUGACGUAUACGGUGUGACGCCUGCCCGGUGCCGGAAGGUUAAUUGAUGGGGUUAGCGCAAGCGAAGCUCUUGAUCGAAGCCCCGGUAAACGGCGGCCGUAACUAUAACGGUCCUAAGGUAGCGAAAUUCCUUGUCGGGUAAGUUCCGACCUGCACGAAUGGCGUAAUGAUGGCCACGCUGUCUCCACCCGAGACUCAGUGAAAUUGAAAUCGCUGUGAAGAUGCAGUGUACCCGCGGCUAGACGGAAAGACCCCGUGAACCUUUACUACAGCUUGGCACUGAACAUUGAACCUACAUGUGUAGGAUAGGUGGGAGGCUAUGAAGACGUGACGCCAGUUGCGUUGGAGCCGUCCUUGAAAUACCACCCUUGUAUGUUUGAUGUUCUAACUUAGACCCAUUAUCUGGGUUGAGGACAGUGCCUGGUGGGUAGUUUGACUGGGGCGGUCUCCUCCCAAAGAGUAACGGAGGAGCACGAAGGUGGGCUAAUCACGGUUGGACAUCGUGAGGUUAGUGCAAUGGCAUAAGCCCGCUUAACUGCGAGAAUGACGGUUCGAGCAGGUGCGAAAGCAGGUCAUAGUGAUCCGGUGGUUCUGUAUGGAAGGGCCAUCGCUCAACGGAUAAAAGGUACUCCGGGGAUAACAGGCUGAUACCGCCCAAGAGUUCAUAUCGACGGCGGUGUUUGGCACCUCGAUGUCGGCUCAUCACAUCCUGGGGCUGAAGUCGGUCCCAAGGGUAUGGCUGUUCGCCAUUUAAAGUGGUACGCGAGCUGGGUUUAGAACGUCGUGAGACAGUUCGGUCCCUAUCUGCCGUGGGCGUUGGAAGAUUGAAGGGGGCUGCUCCUAGUACGAGAGGACCGGAGUGGACGAACCUCUGGUGUUCGGGUUGUGUCGCCAGACGCAUUGCCCGGUAGCUAAGUUCGGAAUUGAUAAGCGCUGAAAGCAUCUAAGCGCGAAGCGAGCCCUGAGAUGAGUCUUCCCUGAUACUUUAAGUAUCCUAAAGGGUUGUUCGAGACUAGAACGUUGAUAGGCAGGGUGUGUAAGCGUUGUGAGGCGUUGAGCUAACCUGUACUAAUUGCCCGUGAGGCUUAACCA
rnacentral:rRNA from 1 species